rnacentral:rRNA from 1 species
UACGGAGGGUGCGAGCGUUAUCCGGAUUCACUGGGUUUAAAGGGCGCGCAGGCGGCCUUAGAAGUCAGAUGUGAAAGCCCCGGGCUCAACCUGGGAACUGCAUCCAAAACUGGCGAGCUAGAGUACGGUAGAGGGUGGUGGAAUUCCUGUGUAGCGGUGAAAUGCGUAGAUAUAGGAAGGAACACCAGUGGCGAAGGCGACCACCUGGACUGAUACUGACACUGAGGUGCGAAAGCGUGGGGAGCAAACAGGA